rnacentral:rRNA from 1 species
UACGUAGGGGGCGAGCGUUGUCCGGAAUUAUUGGGCGUAAAGAGCGUGUAGGCGGUUCGGUAAGUCUGCCGUGAAAACCUGGGGCUCAACCCCAGGCGUGCGGUGGAUACUGCCGGGCUAGAGGGUGGUAGAGGCGAGUGGAAUUCCCGGUGUAGCGGUGAAAUGCGCAGAUAUUGGGAGGAACACCAGUGGCGAAGGCGGCUACCUGGACCGGUACUGACGCUGAUGCGCGAAAGCCAGGGGAGCGAACGGG